GUGGGGAAUAUUGGACAAUGGGCGAAAGCCUGAUCCAGCCAUGCCGCGUGAGUGAUGAAGGCCCUAGGGUUGUAAAGCUCUCUCAGUGGGGAAGAUAAUGACGGUACCCACAGAAGAAGCCCCGGCUAACUUCGUGCCAGCAGCCGCGGUAAUACGAAGGGGGCUAGCGUUGUUCGGAUUUACUGGGCGUAAAGCGCACGUAGGCGGAUUGUUAAGUCAGGGGUGAAAUCCUGGAGCUCAACUCCAGAACUGCCUUUGAUACUGGCAAUCUAGAGUCCGGAAGAGGUGAGUGGAACUCCUAGUGUAGAGGUGGAAUUCGUAGAUAUUAGGAAGAACACCAGUGGCGAAGGCGGCUCACUGGUCCGGUACUGACGCUGAGGUGCGAAAGCGUGGGGAGCAAGC
rnacentral:rRNA from 1 species